rnacentral:rRNA from 1 species
CCCUUAGAUGUUCUGGGCCGCACGCGUGCUACACUGAGUGGAUCAGCGGGUCAGGUUGCGCGAAAGUGUUUCCUAAUCUUGAAAUCCGCUCGUGAUGGGGAUUGACGGUUGCAAUUUUCUGUCAUGAACGAGGAAUACCUUGUAAGCGCGGGUCAUCAUCCCGCGCUGAAUACGUCCCUGCCCUUUGUACACACCGCCCGUCGCUCCUACCGAUUGAGUGGUCCGGUGAGGCUUUGGGAUCUGAGCGGAAAGAGUGUUUCGCUGUUUCUGCUCGGAAAACUCAGUCGAACCUUAUCAUUUAGAGGAAGGAGAAGUCGUAACA